GGGUCACAAUGGGGCUCUAUGGGGUCCCUAUGGGCCCUAAUGGGGUCAUUAUGGGGCAGUUAUGGGGUCACUGUGGAGCUCUAUGGGGUCAUUACGGAGCUCUCUGGGGUCCCUAUGGGGCUCUAUGGGGUCCCUAUGGGGCUCUAUGGGGACACUGUGGGGCUGUUAUGGGGUCACUGUGGAGCUCUAUGGGGCCAUUAUGGAGCUCUCUGGGGUCCCUAUGGGGCUCUAUGGGGUCGCUAUAGGGCUUUAUGGGGUCACUGUGGGGCUCUAUGGGGUCACUAUGGGGCUGUAAUGGGGUCUCUAUGGAACUCUAUGGGGUCACUAUGGGGCAGUUCUGGUGUCACUAUGGGGCUCUAUGGGGUCACUGUGUGGCUCUAUUGGGUCACUGUGGGGCUCUAUGGGGUCACUAUGGGGCUCUAUGGGUCCCCUAUGGGGCUCUAUGGGGUCAUUGUGGGGCUCUAUGGGGUCACUCUGGGCUCUAUGGGGUCACUAUGGGGCUGUUAUGGGGUCACCGUGGAGCUCUAUGGGGUUACUAUGGAGGUAUAUGGGGUCCCUUUUGAGCUCUAUGGGGUCGCUAUGGGGCUGUUAUGGGGUCCCUAUGGGGCUCUACGGGGUCACUAUGGGGCUCUAUGGGGUCCCUAUGGGGCUCUACGGGGUCACUAUGCGGCUGUGAUUGGGUCAUUAUGGAGCUCUAUGGGGUCACUAUGGGGCUCUAUGGGGUCCCUAUGGGGCUCUAUGGGGACACUGUGGGGUUCUAUGGGGUCACCGUGGAGCUCUAUGGGGUCACUCUCGGGCUCUAUGGGGUCAUUACAGAACUCUCUGGGGUCCCUAUGGGGCUCUAUGGGGUCCCUAUGGGCACCAAUGAGGUCUCUAUGGGGCUGUUAUAGGGUCUCUAUGGAACCCUAUGGGGUCGCUAUGGGGCAGUUAUGGGGUCAUUAUGGAGCUCUUUGGGGUCCCUAUGGGGCUCUAUGGGGUCACUGUGGGGCUUUAUGGGUCAUUGUGGAGCUCAAUGGGGUCGCUAUGGGGCUGUUAUGGGGUCCCUAUGGGGCUCUUUGGGGUCCCUAUAGGGCUCUGUGGAGUCCCUAUGGGGCUCUAUGGGGUCACUGUGGGGCUCUAUGGGGUCACGAUGGAGCUCUAUGGGGUCCCUAUGGGGCUCUAUGGGGUCCCUAUGCGGCUCUAUGGGGACACUGUGGGGCUUUAUGGGGUCACUGUGGAGCUCUAUGGGGUCAUUACAGAGCUCUCUGGGGUCCCUAUGGGGCUCUAUGGGGUCACUAUGGGCCUCAAUGAGGUCACUAUGGGGCUGUUAUGGGGUCUCUAUGGAACCCUAUGGGCUCGCUAUGGGGCAGUUAUGGGGUCAUUAUGGAGCUCUUUGGGGUCCCUAUGGAGCUCUAUGGGGUCACCUUGGAGCUCUAUGGGGUCUCUAUGGAGCUCUAUGGGGUCCCUAUGGGGCUCUAUGGGGUCACUACGGGGCUCUAUGGGGUCACUGUGGGGCAGUUAUGGGGUCACUAUGGGACUCUAUGGGGUCACUAUGGGGCAGUUAUGGGUUCACUAUGGAGCUCUAUGGGGUCACUAUGGGGCAGUUAUGGGGUCACUAUGGGGCUCUAUGGGGUCACUGUGGGGCUCUAUGGGGUCACUGUGCAGCUCUAUUGGGCUGUUAUGGGGGCACCACUGUGUUCAGCUAUGGGGUCAGCGAUGGGAUCCCUUAUGGGGUCUCUUAUGGGGUCAGUAUGGGGUCAGCAAUGGGAUCCCUUAUGGGGUCUCUUAUGGGGUCGCUUAUGGGGUCAGUAUGGGGUCAGCAAUGGGAUCCCUUAUGGGGUCUCUUAUGGGGUCGCUUAUGGGGUCAGUAUGGGGUCAGCGAUGGGAUCCCUUAUGGGGUCACUUAUGGGGUCAGUUUGGGUCAGCAAUUGGAUCCCUUAUGGGGUUGCUUCUGGGGUCAGCGAUGGGAUUCCUUAUGGGGUCUCUUAUGGGGUCAGUAUGGGAUCCCUUCUGGGGUCACUUAUGGGGCACUUAUGGGGUCAGUGAUGGGAUCUCUAUGGGGUCACUUCUGGGGUCAGUGUGGGUCAGCGAUGGGAUGCCUUAUGGGGUCACUUAUAGGGUCUCUUAGGGGGUCAGCAAUUGGAUCCCUUAUGGGGUCGCUUCUGGGGUCAGCGAUGGGACUCCUUAUGGGGUCUCUUAUGGGGUCAGCGAUGGGAACCCUUAUGGGGUCUCUUAUGGGGUCAGUAUGGGGUCAGCAAUCGGAUCCCUUAUGGGGUCACUUAUGGGGUCAGUAUGGGGUCAGCAAUGGGAUCCCUUCUGCGGUCACUUAUGGGGC
ensembl:lncRNA